CAUUCGAGUUUCCCGACCAUGAGAUGACUCCACAUGCACUACCAUCUGAGGCCACUCCAUGGGCCCACCUCAGUGGGGAGGGUGGGCGUCCUUAUGAGGCCCUCUGACUGGACCUGCUAUCCGUCACUCAACAGGUAUGCUGCCCCACAAGACCAAGCGAGGCCAGGCCGCUCUGGACCGUCUCAAGGUGUUUGACGGCAUCCCACCGCCCUAUGACAAGAAAAAGCGGAUGGUGGUUCCUGCUGCCCUCAAGGUUGUGCGUCUGAAGCCUACAAGAAAGGUGAGUCCCAGCUUACACUGCGCCAUCUACUUUGGAGAUUUCAGGCCUGCUGAGGGACCUGGGGCCCCGGAGCCUGGCAGAUGAUGUCCUUAUCUCACGAUGGUCUGCGGAUGUCCCUGCGGGAAUG
rnacentral:sRNA from 1 species